rnacentral:rRNA from 1 species
GUGGGGAAUAUUGGACAAUGGGCGAAAGCCUGAUCCAGCGACGCCGCGUGAGUGAAGAAGUAUUUCGGUAUGUAAAGCUCUAUCAGCAGGGAAGAAAAUGACGGUACCUGACUAAGAAGCCCCGGCUAACUACGUGCCAGCAGCCGCGGUAAUACGUAGGGGGCAAGCGUUAUCCGGAUUUACUGGGUGUAAAGGGAGCGUAGACGGUUAAGCAAGUCUGAAGUGAAAGCCCGGGGCUCAACCCCGGUACUGCUUUGGAAACUGUUUGACUUGAGUGCAGGAGAGGUAAGUGGAAUUCCUAGUGUAGCGGUGAAAUGCGUAGAUAUUAGGAGGAACACCAGUGGCGAAGGCGGCUUACUGGACUGUAACUGACGUUGAGGCUCGAAAGCGUGGGGAGCAAACAGGAUUAGAUACCCGGGUAGUCC